UUUUUAAAUACAUCAUUUUGUUGACUUCUGGGUGUUUGGUGAUACCUAGUAAAUUUGCACUUUAAAUAUAUUUAAGUGGAUCUUCACUUCCUGCUCAAUCCUUUAUCUUAACAGGCAAGCUUCCUCUGAUUUGGAACAAAAUAAAAACAGGCUGGUCUUCCCUUGUACCUGACACAGGCAAAUUGAGCUGGCCCAGACAGCAGAGCUCUGUAAGGCAUGUUGAUAUUGAUUGCUUCUUUGUCUCAGGGGCUAUAAGAAAUAUAACAGAUCUCAAAGGAAAAACAGUGGCUCUGUCAGCAACCAUGGCACAGGAAGGUCACCUUUUCUUCGUGGUGCUAACAUCCAACUGGAGUGGCAGUAUUAUCAAAAUAAAAUCCUGAAAGGAGAAGCAGAUCAUGCUGGCCCAGAAAGUGGAGAACUGAUUGCUGAGAUUAAAGGCUUGAGCCACCAUGAUUAUCUGUAAUAAAGUGAGGUGUUAGAGCCUGUGGCCUAGUGAAGUGAACAUCGGGGCUGGGCGAGUAUGGACUCAGAGAUGACCAACUCUGUGUGUGUGCUACACUCAGUUCUCUCCUUCCAGCCAGGGAUGAGUCUUAGGCUCACAGAUUUGUGAAUAUGAGCUUGCUUUGUUGCGUCCAACAUAACAUGUUUUCUGCUUAGUUUUUUCCUGCAUGCUUGCUUCCUUGGUGUGGUUUCGCUUUCUAUCUGUGUUGGAUUCAUAACCUGCACUGGGGAAUCAGAAGCAAGGUCAGAGUCAAAGUCUUUUUGAUAAAGAACCAGGAAUACAUACCAGCACAUCUGGGCUGACUGUCCUUCUUCCCAAGGGAUGGAUCAAUCUCAGAGAAGAUGGUCCUACCUCUUGAUCUACAGGGAACUCUCUAGAUCAGUAGAGCCUCCUUACAAGUCACCACAUGUAAAUUGGAUUUACAUCCCUAUCAUCUAGAGGAUAGCAAGCACAGAGAACAGCAAAGACAAAAAAGAAAGGACAAAGAACUCAGAGGGUGACACAUUAAUCACUUUGGGUCAUUUUUUUUCCUGUUUUACCUUGACUCUGACUUCUAACAAAAAGAGAACAUCAAGAAGAAGAAAAUGAGAAAGAAAAUGAAAGAAACAAACGUCUUUGGAGCCCUGGUGUUGUCGUCGAGUCAAAUUUUUAAAAGACAGAGAGGAGUUGUGAAAAUCAGCUUGCUUAGUGGAAGUCCGCAGUGUUAUAUAAUCAGUACCAUUGUGCUUUAUCUUACAGAAAGUUAAACAUGGCCUGUGGUCACACAGUUACUAAAGAAUUGAACUGUAACCUACAAUUCUCUCUCUCUCUCUCUCUCUCUCUCUCUCUCUCUCUCUCUCUCUCUCUCUCUUUCUCAUAAAAU